GUAAAUCUGAUGCACAAGCGACAUCCGCAAACAACAACGAUGGACGACGAAGCCGCUUCUCUUGGUCCACUGAGGGACAACUUUAGCUUUAAAAAACGUCCUGAUGGGACUUUCGAAAAGACUACUGUUGUAUGCAAGUUGUGCAAAAAGGAGUUUGCUGAUCACCGAAGCUACUCAAGCCUAAAAUACCAUCUCAAUGCAAAACAUGUUGCGGCAAGCUGAGCCGCCCCCACAGCUGAUUUCAGCGGUAAAUAACCGCUCCAGCCAGCCCACAUUGGACCAGGUUUCAGGGCCACAAUAAAUCAAAGAGGAGUUCCAGCGCCUAACUACUUUGCAUCUAGAAUCCAAAUUCAUGUUUCUCGUUGACCAGUAUACACCAAAACUGCUCUCUGUCUUUACUGCCAAGGGAGGAGCAGCAGGAGGAAGGAUGCGAGCCAUAAUGAAUUGUUUGCACAAGACAUGUGACUGAUCUUCUUGGUGGAGAGACUUACGUCUCGUGUUCUGCGGUCUUGCCUGUUUUAUGAUUCCUGGACCACACUAUGAAGGUCUCUGAUGAGGAUUCUACCUACAUUGUGAAAUUCAAGACUGCCUUCAUGAAGGAAUUGUCAGAGUGGAAAGCUGGGAACAUCAUCCAGAAGAAAAGAGCAGCCUUAAGCUCUGAAAAUGUGAACAGGCUCGUUUGUCUCAGUAACUGGCUCAAGGAGAAAAAGUAGCCUCAGUGUUAUAAGAUAAGAUAAUCCUUUAUUAGUCCCACAGCGGGGAAAUUCACAGUCUUGCAGCAGCAGCAGAGUAACAGGAGUAAGGGAUAGCGCUCCUUCACACACUUGGGGUGAAGGAGCCGGUCACUGAAGGAACUGCCCAGUGCUGCCAGAGUCUCAUGCAUGGAGUGGGAGUAGUAGUUUUAUAUGUUUUGGUUGUACAAAAAUAUUGCAGGUUGAAUGUUGUGUUAAAUUCAAUGCUCUUAAAUGCAAUAUGUAGUUUUGCCAUAAUUCUGUUGUUACUUUAGAAAUGGCACUUUAAUUUUUGUUUACACCAGAUGUUAAACUCUCACGCGUUGCAAUAUUGUAUAGUUGUUUUGUUUAUUUUUAAUUUUUACAGUUCUGUACAAGAAAAGGUGCUAUGAUUAUUGGCUAAUGUGCUGUUUACAUUUAUUUAUUUUCAUUUUUCAAAUAAGUUAAACAAUCAGGGGUUCCUGGAAUACUUGAAAUCUGAAUUAUAUUAACUACAAUAGCACCAACACAUCUGUUGGUUUAAUAACAAUAAAAAAAAUUCAAAAAGCAAUAGACGUUUUGUAGUUAAGAAUAUAUGUGUAUUCAUUCAAAAAUUUAGUAGCAAAAUAAUUUUUGUAAUUAAUUGCGAUUAAUUAAUUACAGACCCUGUAAUUAACUCGAUUAAAAAUUUUAAUCAAGUCCCAUCACUAAUUAUAUAUUGUGGAUUUUUACAUUUUUAGUAGCAUAAUUUUAAGCAUUAAUAUCAGAAGACAUUAGCUCGCGCUUAGCGUUAAAGCGUUAAUUAUGACAUUCGCAUGGCAGGACAGGCGAAGAACAGACAUGCAGAGAUGUACUCAACAACAGGAAACCGGCCAAGGCCACAAACUGAAGUAGGUCUGUGUUUAACCGUUAGCAUUUGAGGUUUUCGCAUCCAUAUAUGGUAAACCAUAUGUCCAUUGCACCCACUAAACAGGAACAUGUACACAUUUAGGUUCAGCUUAUACGCACACACAUAUUCAGCUUCAGGGUAUAAAAGGCGCCAGAACACAUUGGGAGGUUAGAGCUUACUUGGGAGAUCCAUGAUGCAUGUUCUCUGUAACCUCUCCAGAAUUCUGUAAUAAAACUGUUUCACUUCAG